GCCGAUCAGAGGACCAUUGAAUGAGGCGCGUGCACGAUUCGCCCCCGUGGAGAAAUUUCAUUCGGCUGUUUAGCUUAUUGCAGAUUCCCGGUCGGAAUAUUAUCGCUUUUCUACGAGAUAAAUGGCAUAAAAAUUGGUUUUAAACAGCGGUUGACAUGCUUCGAAGUACGGUAAUGGAAUAUUUAGAAUUUUUUGUCACGCCAUGCACCAUGCGCACGACCGUUAUUUACCAUUCGUAUAGUGUCUAGAACGCACGAACAAAACAGAGGAUAUUUGGAUAUAACGAUGGAUUAUUUGGGACCAAACCUACAUUUGUUAUUGAUGUAGAAGUCCUGGGAGUGCAUUCUGACGAAGAACAGGAAAGUUUCCAAAAGGAUGUUUCUGUAUGCAGUGCUGCUGCUCUGCACAUUUUUAGCCAGGUCCGAUCUACUUUUUAACUCCUUGCAAGUGUGGCUUGUUUGGUGUCUGCUGUGAAGGAAUACCACAAGUCAACUACUUGAUUCAUGAAGUUAUGUCAUCCAGCAAAGGCAGCAGCGCAGUCACCAACUACAUGCACCAUUUCUUCACAACUACGGAGUUGGAGAAACACGUGUGGACCUGAAUUGUGAUAACUGCAGUGUCUGGUAUUGUGCCUGGCAGACCAUGCACAUGCUACACCACAGUCUGAACCUUCACUUCCUGAUCACAGGCCACACCAAGUUUGCCCCCAACUGGUGCUUCUGCCUCAUCCAGCAGCGCUUAAGAAAGACCAGAGUGAAUACUUUGUCUGAGAUUGCUGGUGUUGUGAAGGACAGCACUGUGACGGGUCAAUAUCCCACAGCUGGUUGGACUGGAGGAUGGUACGGUGCUGGUGGAAAGCUAUGGCUGGCAACAACACCUAACUCCAUACUUCAGGCCGCUCCCACAGUUCAAGCAGUACCGGCACUUCAGCUUCGAUGCUCUGGAGCCUGGUGUUGUUGUCGCCAAGGAGCGUUCGGACUGUCGGGACCAGGUUUCAGCUGCUGUGCAACGCUGACAUCCUUCCUCCCAUGGUCUGCCUGUACAAGCACCACCUGGACUGGACACAGCUAGACAAAUGUAU
rnacentral:lncRNA from 1 species